rnacentral:ncRNA from 2 species
AUUUGUGAUAGAGGUGCAAAACUUAAGAGUAGAAACUUGGAGAAGAUUGAGCUUCGAAGAAAAGUUUUGAAAGGAAGUUUUGCCGAAGUGAAGCUGGACUCAAUACCAUGCUUUGCUGGUUCUGUAUUGAAUAAAUCCAGGACUGUCAAGAUAUAGUUAUUAUCUUGGAGAGCUAUCUCAUAA